rnacentral:rRNA from 1 species
GACGAACGCUGGCGGCGUGCUUAACACAUGCAAGUCGAGCGGAAAGGCCCUUUCGGGGGUACUCGAGCGGCGAACGGGAGAGUAACGCGGGAGUAAUCUGCACUUCACUUUGGGAUAACGCUCGGAAACGGGUGCUAAUACCGGAUAUGACCACUCCAGGCACCUGGUGGUGGUGGAAACUUUUUUGGGUGGGGGAUGUGCUCGCGGCCUAUCAGCUUGUUGGUGGGGUAAUGGCCUACCAAGGCUUUGACGGGUAGCCGGCCUGAGAGGGUGACCGGCCACACUGGGACUGGGACACGGCCCAGACUCCUACGGGAGGCAGCAGUGGGGAAUAUUGGACAAUGGGCGGAAGCCUGAUCCAGCAACGCCGCGUGAGGGAUGACGGCCUUCGGGUUGUAAACCUCUUUCAGCACCGACGAAGCGUGAGUGACGGUAGGUGCAGAAGAAGGACCGGCCAACUACGUGCCAGCAGCCGCCGUAAAAC